AGAGUUUGAUCAUGGCUCAGAAUCAACGCUGGCGGCGUGCCUCAGACAUGCAAGUCGAACGCGAAAGUCCCCUUCGGGGGACAAGUAGAGUGGCGCACGGGUGAGUAACACGUAGGUAAUCUACCUCUGGGUGGGGAAUAACAGCCGGAAACGGCUGCUAAUACCGCAUAACGCAGCGGCACCACAUGGUGACAGUUGUUAAAGCGGGGGAUUGUAAGACCUCGCGCCUGGAGAGGAGCCUGCGGCGGAUUAGCUAGUUGGCGGGGUAACGGCCCACCAAGGCAACGAUCCGUAGCCGGCCUGAGAGGGCGGUCGGCCACACUGGCACUGACACACGGGCCAGACUCCUACGGGAGGCAGCAGUCGGGAAUUUUGGGCAAUGGGCGAAAGCCUGACCCAGCAACGCCGCGUGAAGGAUGAAGCUUCUCGGAGUGUAAACUUCAUAAGAAUGGGACGAAUAAGGAGGGGUUAAUACCCCCUUUGAUGACGGUACCAUUUGUAAGCUCCGGCUAACUCCGUGCCAGCCGCGGCGGUAAUAC
rnacentral:rRNA from 1 species